AGAGUUUGAUCCUGGCUCAGGAUGAAUGCUGGCGGCGUGCCUAACACAUGCAAGUCGAGCGGCAGCGAGUUUUACACUGAAUUCUGGAAGCUUCUGGGUAAUAUAGAAGAUCUAUUCAAGAAUUUUGUGUAAAAUGUCGGCGAGCGGCGGACGGCUGAGUAACGCGUAGGAAUUUGCCCCAAAGUGAGGAAUAACUGCCCGAAAGGGUAGCUAAUGCCGCAUAUGGUCUUCGGAUUAAAGCCUUCGGGCGCUUUGGGAGAAGCCUGCGUUGGAUUAGGUAGUUGGUAGGGUAAUGGCCUACCAAGCCGACGAUCCAUAGCUGGUCUGAGAGGAUGAUCAGCCAGACUGGAACUGAGACACGGUCCAGACUCCUACGGGAGGCAGCAGUGAGGAAUCUUCCACAAUGGGCGAAAGCCUGAUGGAGCAACGCCGCGUGAAGGAUGAAGGCCUUCGGGUUGUAAACUUCUUUUAUGAGUGAAGAAUAUGACGGUAACUCAUGAAUAAGCACCGGCUAACUACGUGCCAGCAGCCGCGGUCAUACGUAGGGUGCAAGCAUUAUCCGGAGUGACUGGGCGUAAAGAGUUGCGUAGGCGGUUUAAUAAGUGAAUAGUGAAACCUGGUGGCUCAACCAUACAGACUAUUAUUCAAACUGUUAAACUCGAGAAUGGUAGAGGUAACUGGAAUUUCUAGUGUAGGAGUGAAAUCCGUAGAUAUUAGAAGGAACACCGAUGGCGUAGGCAGGUUACUGGGCCAUUUCUGACGCUAAGGCACGAAAGCGUGGGGAGCGAACCGGAUUAGAUACCCGGGUAGUCCACGCCGUAAACGAUGGAUACUAGCUGUUGGAGGUAUCGACCCCUUCAGUAGCGAAGCUAACGCGUUAAGUAUCCCGCCUGUGGAGUACGGCCGCAAGGCUAAAACAUAAAGGAAUUGACGGGGACCCGCACAAGCGGUGGAUUAUGUUCUUUAAUUCGAUGAUAACCGAAGAACCUUACCAGGGCUUGACAUCCAGGGAAGGUCUGCGAAAGUAGACUGUGCCUUUUGGAACCCUGUGACAGGUGAUGCAUGGCCGUCGUCAGCUCGUGUCGUGAGAUGUUAGGUUAAGUCCUUCAACGAGCGCAACCCUUGUGAAUAGUUGUAUUUUUCUAUUCAGACUGCCCCGGUAACGGGGAGGAAGGAGGGGAUGAUGUCAGGUCAGUAUUUCCC
rnacentral:rRNA from 1 species